rnacentral:rRNA from 1 species
AGUUCGGACUGUAGGCUGCAACUCGCCUACACGAAGUCGAAAUCGCUAGUAAUCGCGGAUCAGCAUGCCGCGGUGAAUACGUUCCCGGGCCUUGUACACACCGCCCGUCACACCAUGGGAGUUUGUAACGCCCAAAGUCGGUGGCCUAACCUUUAUGGAGGGAGCCGCCUAAGGCGGGACAGAUGACUGGGGUGAAGUCGUAACAAGGUAAC